rnacentral:rRNA from 1 species
AGAGAGAUGCAUUGCUUCUCUUGAGAGCGGCGGACGGGUGAGUAAUGCCUAGGAAUCUGCCUGGUAGUGGGGGAUAACGUUCGGAAACGGACGCUAAUACCGCAUACGUCCUACGGGAGAAAGCAGGGGACCUUCGGGCCUUGCGCUAUCAGAUGAGCCUAGGUCGGAUUAGCUAGUUGGUGGGGUAAUGGCUCACCAAGGCGACGAUCCGUAACUGGUCUGAGAGGAUGAUCAGUCACACUGGAACUGAGACACGGUCCAGACUCCUACGGGAGGCAGCAGUGGGGAAUAUUGGACAAUGGGCGAAAGCCUGAUCCAGCCAUGCCGCGUGUGUGAAGAAGGUCUUCGGAUUGUAAAGCACUUUAAGUUGGGAGGAAGGGUUGUUAAUUAAUACUCGGUGGUUUUGACGUUACCGACAGAAUAAGCACCGGCUAACUCUGUGCCAGCAGCCGCGGUAAUACAGAGGGUGCAAGCGUUAAUCGGAAUUACUGGGCGUAAAGCGCGCGUAGGUGGUUUGUUAAGUUGGAUGUGAAAUCCCCGGGCUCAACCUGGGAACUGCAUUCAAAACUGACUGACUAGAGUAUGGUAGAGGGUGGGUGGAAUUUUCUGUGUAGCGGUGAAAUGCGUAGAUAUAGGAAGGAACACCAGUGGCGAAGGCGACCACCUGGACUGAUACUGACACUGAGGUGCGAAAGCGUGGGGGAGCAAACAGGAUUAGAUUCCCCGGUAAUCCACGCCCUAAACCAAGUUCACUUACCCUUUGGAACCCUUAACUUUUAAUUGCCCCACUUAACCCAUAAGUUUAACCGCCUGGGGAAUUACGGCCCCAAGGUUAAAACUCAAAUGGAUUUGACGGGGGCCCGGCACCAACCGGUGGAACCAGGUGGUUUUAUUUCGAAAUCAACCGCGAAAAACCUUUACCCAGGCCUUGACAUUCCAAUGAAACUUUCU